rnacentral:rRNA from 1 species
UACGGAGGAUGCAAGCGUUAUCCGGAUUUAUUGGGUUUAAAGGGUGCGCAGGUUGUUUGAUAAGUCAGUGGUGAAAGUCUGUCGCUUAACGGUAGGAUUGCCAUUGAUACUGUUGGACUUGAAUAUGGAUGAGGUAGGCGGAAUGUGUAGUGUAGCGGUGAAAUGCAUAGAUAUCAGGAGGAACACCGAUGGCGAAGGCAGCCCCCUGGGCCUGUACUGACGCUCAUGCACGAAAGCGUGGGGAGCAAACAGGA